GUGACCAUGGCGGUGGAGGAGAAGGAUGAGGUAGCCAACACUGUUUUUUAUAUAUAGUAGCUGUUGACAUUAUAGUUGUGCAGGCACUUUAUUGACUCUAGAGAACAAUGGGCCAAUCACACAUCCCUGUGGCGGUGACUUUGCAUGUGGAUGUCAUCCAUAUCAACAUUCGAUGCCAGUUUUUGCGCCUACCAUGGUGACCACGGGUAAUGGGGAAUCAGGGUUCCAUUCCGUACAGGGACCCUGAGAAACGACUACCACAUGCAAGGAAGGCACCAGGCGUGCAAAUGACCCACUCCUGACGCGGGAAGGUAGUAAC